AAAGUUCGUCUGGGGUGCCGGUAACGGCUGAGAUGAUACCCAUCGAACCUGAUGUAGUUGAUACUACCGAAGGAAGAGCGACUUAAAAUUGAC
rfam:Lactobacillus collinoides DSM 20515 = JCM 1123 strain DSM 20515 NODE_9, whole genome shotgun sequence.